rnacentral:lncRNA from 1 species
GAUGCUAAACAUAAGUUUUGAAGGGGAUCUUCUGAAGCUAUGGAAGUAGUUUGUGACUGUUUUGUUUCCACAAAGUUUGAAUUAUUUUCUUCACUUCAUUUGAGAAAUAUAGGUGGAUUGAGAGACAUUCUUCAUUCAAACAAAAGUUUAACAGCUAUUUCUAAAACACAUAUCAUAUGUGCACUGCGAGUCCUCGAACAGCUCCACGCGUCUCCAGCUCUGCCCAAGCCCGAGCCACGCGACGGGCUGUGAUCGCGCACGGACCAGACGAGAGCUCUUCAACUGUGUGAUCCAAAUGAAUUUGAGAACACCUAUUUACUGCUCCGCCCUGUGUCCUGCUGGCCAGAAGUGCCCAUCAAUUUCAAAGGCCUCUGUGUGACUGGAUUGAGGAAGCCAAGAGCAGGGAGAAGAAUAGAUCCAGGUCUUCCCAUUACUCCAAAAUGGAGCCUAGCCCUCUGGCAGCACAGUCGGCCAGCUGGGACCACGGUGGCCAUUACUGGAAGUGUGAUCAUCUGCCCUCUCUCCUCAGUGCCCUUGGAAUAUGUGCUCUUCUGUCUGGCUUCAAUUUCUCUUACUUCUUUGUGUGUGAAGAGUCUUCCUUUCAAUCAGCAAACUCUUCCUGCACACUAUAAAGCCCACUUUGGUCUUCAGAAUCUUUCAGUGCCUGAGCUUGUCAGUAUGAGGUUUCUCUUUCUUUAUUUCCAAAUGUCCUGCUUUCUUUGUGUGCAACUUCUUAAGAAUUUGGCAAAGUAAACAACAAAGCAGCAAUAUUUCAUAGGGUUUAAACUUCCCUUUGGUCCUGGAUAGAAAGGAUUUUUUUUUUUUUUUUGAGACGGAGUUUUGCUCUUGUAGCACUGGCUAGAGUGCAAUGGCGC